GUGGCAGCCGCGCCGCUCCGGUCGCCGACGCUCCUCAGGGCCCCGCGGAGCCCCCUUGGCAGGACCACGCGGGCUGUGGUAUCCCCGGUGACCAAGGCCAUCUUCGUGGCUCUGUUCCUCUUGGCUGUGCUGCUCAUCCUCUACGUGAUCCUGUGGUACAUUUGCCGGGACGUGGACAACGACUACAUCUGAAGCAGCUCCUCCAGCAGCCUGUCACCUCCCAGGAAACGGAGUCACAGCUGAUUGGCUACCUCCGAUGUGCCAGGCGGUGUGGCGGCCCUUGACACGAUUCAGGAAUGAAACCCCAUGUUUGCCGGGGUUGAUUUGGGAGCCGAAGCCUGCAGCCGACACUUCACUGCCACCUUGGCAACUCUAGGUAAGGCACUAAGUCUGUAAAUAAUUUUGGGUUUGUUUUUUCCUUUUUUGGCUGCCCUGCACGUUUGGAGUUCCCAGGUCAGGGAU
rnacentral:lncRNA from 1 species